rnacentral:rRNA from 1 species
AUUGAACGCUGGCGGAAUGCUUUACACAUGCAAGUCGAACGGUAGAGGGGGCAACCCCUUGAGAGUGGCGAACGGGUGAGUAAUAUAUCGGAACGUGCCCAGUCGUGGGGGAUAACGUAGCGAAAGUUACGCUAAUACCGCAUACGAUCUAAGGAUGAAAGCGGGGGAUCGCAAGACCUCGCGCGAUUGGAGCGGCCGAUAUCAGAUUAGGUAGUUGGUGGGGUAAAGGCUCACCAAGCCAACGAUCUGUAGCUGGUCUGAGAGGACGACCAGCCACACUGGAACUGAGACACGGUCCAGACUCCUACGGGAGGCAGCAGUGGGGAAUUUUGGACAAUGGACGCAAGUCUGAUCCAGCCAUUCCGCGUGCAGGAUGAAGGCCCUCGGGUUGUAAACUGCUUUUGUACGGAACGAAAAGGUUUGUCUUAAUACGAUGAGCUCAUGACGGUACCGUAAGAAUAAGCACCGGCUAACUACGUG